rnacentral:tRNA from 1 species
GGCGUCGUACCGAAGUGGCUAACGGGGGGCAUUGCAAAUGCCUUUUUCAUCGGUUCAAAUCCGAUCGACGCCU